rnacentral:rRNA from 1 species
AUUGAACGCUGGCGGCAGGCCUAACACAUGCAAGUCGAACGAGUGGCGGACGGGUGAGUAAUGUCUGGGAAACUGCCCGAUGGAGGGGGAUAACUACUGGAAACGGUAGCUAAUACCGCAUACCAUCGGAUGUGCCCCGAUGGGGUUAGCUUGUAGGUGGGGUAAAGGCGCACCUAGGCGACGCUCCCUAGCUGGUCUGAUAGGAUGACCAGCCACACUGGAACUGAGACACGGUCCAGACUCCUACGGGAGGCAGCAGUGGGGAAUAUUGCACAAUGGGCGCAAGCCUGAUGCAGCCAUGCCGCGUGUAUGAAGAAGGCCUUCGGGUUGUAAAGUACUUUCAGCGGGGAGGCGUUACCCGCAGAAGAAGCACCGGCUAACUCCGUGCCAGCAGCCGCGGUAAUAC